UUGACCAUUUGAUCUCAAAUCAGGUAGGACUACCCGCUGAACUUAAGCAUAUCAAAAGGCCGGGAGGAA
rnacentral:rRNA from 1 species